UCCGGGUUGAUCCUGGGACCCACCCGUGCUAUCGGAUUGAGAGCUGGUACAGCCGAGUCGAACGUCCCCCUGUUGCGGGUUACGGGCGUGUGCGUACGGCUCAGUAACACGUAGUCAACCUGCGGCCUUAGACAUGGACAACGGGGGGAAACUGGGAUUAAUUCCGUGAUAGGUCAUCUCAUCUGGAAGGAGAGAUGGCUUAAAGGGGUGCGUGAGCUUCUUUCGUGCACUUGCUCCAGGAUGGGACCUAGACCGAUCAGGCUGUUGGGCUGGGUAAUGGCCCACCAAACCAGUAACCGGUACGGGCUUUGAGAGAAGGAGCCCGGAGAUGGACACUGAGACAAGGGUCCAGGUCCUACGGGGCGCAGCAGGCGCGACUGGGUUCGCAAUGUUUAUGCGAAAGCAUGACGAGGUUAAUCCGAGUGGCAUCCGCUGAGGAAGUCUGGGUGCCGGCUCUAGGGACGGCCGGUGAAUAAGGGGUGGGCAAGUCUGGUGUCAGCUUUCGCGGUAAUACCAGCACCCCGAGUGGUCGGUGAGACGAUGGGCCUAAAGCAUCCGUAGCCGGUUCUGCAAGUCCCCCGUUAAAUCCAGCUGCUCAACAGAUGGGCCGCGGAGGGGAAUACUACAGAGCUAGGAGGCAGGAGAGGCAAGCGGUACUCAGCCCGUAGGGGUAGGGUCCGUUCCAUUGAAGACCACCAGUGGCGAAGGCGGCUUGCCAGAAUGCGCUCGACGGUGAGGGAUGAAAGCUGGGGGAGCAAACCCAGAUACCCGGGUAGUCCCAGCCGUAGGGGAUGCAGACUCGGUCCCGGGUUGGCUUCGGGUAACCCAGUGCCGCACCCCAAGCCGUUAAGUCUGCCGCCUGGGUAGUACGGUCGCAAGACUGAAACUUAAAGGAAUUGGCGGGGGAGCA
rnacentral:rRNA from 1 species